rnacentral:rRNA from 1 species
CCUACGGGAGGCAGCAGUGGGGAAUAUUGCACAAUGGGGGCAACCCUGAUGCAGCAACGCCGCGUGAAGGAAGACGGUUUUCGGAUUGUAAACUUCUGUUCUUAGUGAAGAAUAAUGACGGUAGCUAAGGAGCAAGCCACGGCAAACUACGUGCCAGCAGCCGCGGUAAUACGUAGGUGCCACGCGUUGUCCGGAAUUACUGGGUGUAAAGGGAGCGCAGGCGGGAAGCCAAGUCAGCUGUGAAAACUACGGGCUUAACUUGUAGACUGCAGUUGAAACUGGUUUGCUUGAGUGAAGUAGAGGUAGGCGGAAUUCCGGGUGUAGCGGUGAAAUGCGUAGAUAUUCGGAGGAACACCGAUGGCGAAGGCGGCCAACUGGGCUUUAACUGACGCUGAGGCUCGAAGGUGUGGGGAGCGAACAGGAUUAGAUACCCUAGUAGUC